rnacentral:misc_RNA from 1 species
GCUCAAUAAUAUGUACAAGAUGUUCUUGGAGAGGGUAGAUCUUCCUCAUGUAGCAUCAGUUGUUGCAGUACGGGGGCGGAUGGAGAAAAGCUCUGUUUCACAAGAACUUCCCAUUGUUAAGGCAAUUUAUUCCUUUCUGCAGGAUAAUGUUUCAUCGUCAUUUUCUUUCCCUGUAUGGAAUAAAGGUCGGAUUACCUGCCAGCGGUCCCAUCUAAAGCGCAUUCUUUCAGGCACAGAUUCAAUUUCAGAUGAAAACAGAAAAGAUCAAUUUAUUGUUUUAAGUAACUCCCCUCUUUCUCUCCCUAGAACAAGAACAUCAACAAGCAAUGUCAAGAGUAGUCAACAUGAGAAUUCCGAUUCUGAAACGAGAACGGAGCUUCUGACAAGCACAGUUUAGGUUUGAUAUACAAAAUCAAUUCAUCCACUUUUCCAGGCAUGGAAAUUCUCUCCUUAUUUCAUUUAAACAAGGUUCACC